UUUUUAAAUCCGCCGAAAAAUCUUUUUUUUUUCUUAAAAUAAAUUAAAUGGUUUUUAUAAUUACAUAGAUGCCUGAGUAACGGCUACCACAUCCAAGGAAGGCAGCAGGCACGCAAAUUACCCACUCCCGGAACGGGGAGGUAGUGACAAAAAAUAACGAUACGGGACUCGAUAUGAGGCCUCGUAAUCGGAAUGAGUACACUCUAAAUCCUUUAACAAAAAUCUAUUGGAGGGCAAGUCUGGUGCCAGCAGCCGCGGUAAUUCCAGCUCCAAU
rnacentral:misc_RNA from 13 species